GGGUGCGAUCAUUUCAGCACUAAUGCACGGGAUUCCAUCAGAACUCAGAAGUUAAGCGUGCUUGGGUAAGAAUAGUUCUAAGAUGGGCUUGUCUAAUGACUUUCAUAGAUUCAGGCU
rnacentral:rRNA from 1 species